ensembl:lncRNA
CGCAAGCACUUCUCCUCUCAGGGAUGUAAUCUCAGAAAGCUUGGGAUGUCUCUCUUUUGAGACUCUCCCUCACAAGCAAGUACACAGACACCUGCCCCUCCUUUCAUACGCGCUGUCGUUCUGUAGAUGUCCCUAGACAGGGACUCUCUGGCACACAAACACCGGUGCACAUAUAGAUAUAAUGUGUACACACACACACACACACACACACACACACACACACACACACACACACACACCUCCCGUACUGCCUGCACAUUUGGCUAUGUGUAGAUGUUUUCUCACCUUCUUCCCUACAGACGUCGCCGGUUCCCAACUCAGAAGCCUUUUAGGAAUGAAAUUUCUGGUGUGUCUUUGGCCCAUUCUUGGUGAACCUCUUGCAUCAGAAAGAGCCACACAAGGAGAGCAAAAAGCUUGUCCUUAGAAGGGUAUUCUGAGGCAGCCCGGUGGCAGUCUACACCCUAAGGAGACACCUGAGCUAGAUAGCAAUGCGAAUCCAUUCCUUGUAUUACCCUAAACCCCUCUCUGAGAAAUUCAAAGAACCCCACAGACUUACUCUGCUCGGAAAGACUUUGCAUCCUGGUGUGCUCCAUCCAGGGAGUAGGUCUGUCCCUGCAACCACAUCCUUGUAGCACCAGAUGUUUUGGAUCUUUCUGAAUCUGUUGCUUUGUGUACGUACCAUCUAUGCAGCUCAGUUUAUGUGACUAGUGGCCUAUGUAUUCACCACAGGGAGCUAACGGGAAUGUUUGCAAAACUUAAGGGUAUCCCUAAGCAUUUGUAUUGGAUGGUAGGUCACAGCAUGACUGUUAUCCGUGUGUGGCCCCACAAGUGCACACAGGAGAGUGUCCGUGGAACUGGGUGUAUCUCUCUCUGUGUGUAUUUAUAUAUCUUGGAAAUAGACCAUCAUCUUCAAGAAUCACGUGAUAGACAGCCGGUAUCAUAAGUAUGUCUUAAUCAGUGUGAUGACUUUGUAGAUUUGUGUAUUUAUCUAAGCAUGCAUUUGUUUGUCUUUAAUAGUCUGGCUAUCUGUGUAGCUCUCUGUGUGUAUGUGUGUGUGCCCCUGCAUAUGUGUGAGUGUGUACAAGAGAGAUGUUUGCAAUGUGUGAGAAUACUCACGGACCAUUCUAUUAAUUAAUUGAGGCGGGAGGCCAGUGUAUCUGAGGCCACACAGUUGUGUGUGUUUAUUUUAAAGCAAGGUAUGACUGUAUCACCAUGGCUGGCCUGGAACUCAUAAUGAUCUGCCUGCCUCUGCCUCCUGAGUGCUGGGAUUAAAGGUAUGUCCUGCCACUCAGGGUUAGCAUCUCUUAAUGGCAGGUGUUGACAUCUAACUUUGAGCUGAAGGUGGAUGGGGACAAACACAUCCAGAUUAUCGCAGCCCUUUCAGAGCGCACACAACAAAUGCGCCCGCCAUCGAAUGCAGCAUUUACCACCACAGAUCCGCGCGCCGAUGGGCAGGCUGAUAGCGUCCGCGGGGGGCUCGCCGGGGCGAGUGUGCGCCCCGGCUCUGCCUGGUGUGUUUGGAGGAACACGUGGGUAUGCCAGCGAGUGGACCCAGAGCGAGCAAGGAUGUGAGUGUGCGAGUAAGUGUGCCUCGAGAAAGUUCACGUGUGCGAGACCCUGCGCACACACAUGGUGAGUGUUCGUGGCGAGUGCCAGAGAAGAGGCCGGCGAGAGGCAGGCGGGAAAGGAUGCUGCACGUGACCUCGUGGGAAGCACGCUGCUAGUGUGUGCAGUGUGCUAGCCGCGUGCACGAGACAAUUUACAGUGAGGGCCUACAAGUACCUAGCUUUCGAGGAUGCUGUUUGGGGGUGCGGAACAAAGGGGUUCGAAGCCACUCCUGAAUGGUAUGCGUAGCAUUUGCAGGCCGCACUCCAUAAGGAGUAUUUCUGAAGCUGCUGGGUGGCUGGUAGCUGACGUUUACGCCAGCAGCUCAGGCCUUUGGAACCCGCACGGAUCUGUGGACAGUGUGGACGCAGAACAACUAGAUGUACAGAACGAUGCGCGAAGCUAAGGACCAGUCUUCUCGGGCCUUGACUGAGCCUGUGUUGUGCUACUCUGGGCUGGACAUUGGCUGUGAGGAUGAGACCGCUGUACGCUCGGUCCGGGAAGUGCUGGAGAGUGACACCCGGCUAGCGGCUGUGGCGUUUGAGAGCGUCCAGGGAUCCUGGUGCUGGCUUUGGGGCCCCUCCGCCAAGGCCUUGCAGCUGGGGCAACAGAGCCCAGCCCGCCGCCCGAGGUCCGGGACGUGAGUGACACGCGCCGCCACAAAGGCUGUAUUUUUCCAGGCCCGCGCCCCGCCCGCGCGCGAUGGUCCCCAUGGCGACGCAGAUAGCGCGCGGCCAUUUUCCUAUCUCCCCGGAGUCUAUUAUACAGCGGGAUUAGCUCAUCUCCAGGCAGGUCAAACCCAAAGUCACACAACCUGCGGCGUGAGCCCCGCCUCCGGCCGCUC